GGAGACGUGGCUGAGUGGUCUAAAGCACCUCACUGCUAACGAGGCGUCCUGUUACAGGGACCGAAGGUUCGAAUCCUUCCGUCUCCG
rfam:Candidatus Lloydbacteria bacterium RIFOXYC12_FTLL_46_25 rifoxyc3_full_scaffold_657, whole genome shotgun sequence.